AUUUCACUCAAGUGACCAGUCAUAUCCAAUUUAUCCAGGGAAAUCUCUGAUAACAGACAGAAAGCAGAAACAUGUGUUGCCCUUGAAGUCACAUACAGGUUAACCACUCCCUUUUUUCUGCCCAAGUCUGUGUGUCCAGGAUCCUCUUAGCUGCCCAGCUCCAGCAGCGAUGUUUCCUGUAACGUACCACAGCUGCCGUCAGAUCUUCAGUGAAGAGAAGGAAGAAAGUAAUGCCGGAUGAAGGCUGCUGAAGUAGUGAAGAAAUCUUGUAUGUGUCAGGAAUUCAAAUAUAUAUGUACAUAUAUGCAUCUGAUUUGAGAACCUCUGAAACAAUGUGAUUGAUAGAACUGAUGGAAUGUUUUUUGGUUUCAUUUUGCGGCAUGACAGCAGAGUUGACUGAAUUCUCAACUUUGUACAAACAGCUUUUAAAAGCAAAAUAAAAUUGCAACUGCAGUGAAAUGUUAGUGUGCUUAUGCAAAUACCUGUUUCAGUCACACAGUGUAUUUUAACUCGCUUGUUCUCAGUCUACAGUGAGUUUAUCACUGACAAGUAUCAGGGAGUUGCUAUGGAUAUGUAGCAUAUGUAU
ensembl:lncRNA